rnacentral:siRNA from 1 species
UGAUGGUCUAAUCUACAUUUGUA